AAUUUUUCCGCAAUGGGCGCAAGCCUGACGGAGCAAUACCGCGUGGGGGAGGAAGGUCUGUGGAUUGUAAACCCCUUUUCUCAGGGAAGAAGCUCUGACGGUACCUGAGGAAUCAGCAUCGGCUAACUCCGUGCCAGCAGCCGCGGUAAUACGGAGGAUGCAAGCGUUAUCCGGAAUUAUUGGGCGUAAAGCGUCCGCAGGCGGCUAGAUAAGUCUGCUUUCAAAGAGUGGGGCUCAACCCCAUAAAGGGAGUGGAAACUGUUUAGCUAGAGUAUGGUAGGGGCAGAGGGAAUUCCCAGUGUAGCGGUGAAAUGCGUAGAUAUUGGGAAGAACACCAGUGGCGAAGGCGCUCUGCUGGACCGAGACUG
rnacentral:rRNA from 1 species